rnacentral:rRNA from 1 species
CUGCGAUAAGCGUCGGUAAGGUGAUAUGAACCGUUAUAACCGGCGAUUUCCGAAUGGGGAAACCCAGUGUGAUUCGUCACACUAUCAUUAACUGAAUCCAUAGGUUAAUGAGGCGAACCGGGGGAACUGAAACAUCUAAGUACCCCGAGGAAAAGAAAUCAACCGAGAUUCCCCCAGUAGCGGCGAGCGAACGGGGAGCAGCCCAGAGCCUGAAUCAGUGUGUGUGUUAGUGGAAGCGUCUGGAAAGGCGCGCGAUACAGGGUGACAGCCCCGUACACAAAAAUGCACAUGCUGUGAGCUCGAUGAGUAGGGCGGGACACGUGGUAUCCUGUCUGAAUAUGGGGGGACCAUCCUCCAAGGCUAAAUACUCCUGACUGACCGAUAGUGAACCAGUACCGUGAGGGAAAGGCGAAAAGAACCCCGGCGAGGGGAGUGAAAAAGAACCUGAAACCGUGUACGUACAAGCAGUGGGAGCACGCUUAGGCGUGUGACUGCGUACCUUUUGUAUAAUGGGUCAGCGACUUAUAUUCUGUAGCAAGGUUAACCGAAUAGGGGAGCCGAAGGGAAACCGAGUCUUAACUGGGCGUUAAGUUGCAGGGUAUAGACCCGAAACCCGGUGAUCUAGCCAUGGGCAGGUUGAAGGUUGGGUAACACUAACUGGAGGACCGAACCGACUAAUGUUGAAAAAUUAGCGGAUGACUUGUGGCUGGGGGUGAAAGGCCAAUCAAACCGGGAGAUAGCUGGUUCUCCCCGAAAGCUAUUUAGGUAGCGCCUCGUGAAUUCAUCUCCGGGGGUAGAGCACUGUUUCGGCAAGGGGGUCAUCCCGA